GACGAACGCUGGCGGCGUGCUUAACACAUGCAAGUCGAACGGUGAAGCGCUUGCCUUUUUGGUGGGUGUGGAUGAGUGGCGAACGGGUGAGUAACACGUGAGUAACCUGCCCUCUUCUUCUGGAUAACCUCAUGAAAGUGGGGCUAAUACGGGGUAUUCCGGGUCUGUCGCAUGGCGGGUUUGGGAAAGAUUGCGCCUUUGGGUGUUUUCGGUGGGGGAUGGGCUCGCGGUCUAUCAGCUUGUUGGUGGGGUGAUGGCCUACCAAGGCGGUGACGGGUAGCCGGCCUGAGAGGGUGGACGGCCACACUGGGACUGAGACACGGCCCAGACUCCUGCGGGAGGCAGCAGUGGGGAAUAUUGCACAAUGGGCGCAAGCCUGAUGCAGCGACGCCGCGUGAGGGAUGGAGGCCUUCGGGUUGUGAACCUCUUUCGCCAGUGAAGCAGGCCUGCUCCUGUGUGGGUGGGUUGACGGUAGCUGGAUAAGAAGCGCCGGCUAACUACGUG
rnacentral:rRNA from 1 species